UACGUAGGGGGCUAGCGUUGUCCGGAAUCAUUGGGCGUAAAGCGCACGUAGGCGGUAUUGCAAGUCGGAUGUGAAAUCCCUCGGCUUAACCAAGGAAGUGCAUCCGAAACUGCUGUACUUGAGUACGAAAGAGGAUCGCGGAAUUCCCGGUGUAGAGGUGAAAUUCGUAGAUAUCGGGAGGAACACCAGUGGCGAAGGCGGCGAUCUGGGUCGAUACUGACGCUGAGGUGCGAAAGCGUGGGGAGCAAACAGG
rnacentral:rRNA from 1 species